UCAAACAAAGAAAAAGAUACGAGUAACUGACAAAUGGUAUAAUUGACAAAUCGUACUUUAAAAUACCAAAACGACAGUUAAAUAGGAACAAAAAAUUCACCCUAAAACGACACUUAAAAAGAAACUGAAGAAGUAUUAUUUAUCCGAAACUUAAUCCCUAUCUUUUAACUUCUUAACUUUGUAAACCUUUAGCUCAACUUAUUGAGCUAUCCCCAAUCAGUAUUCAUUUUAUGUGGGGCCUUUAUUAAUAAUAAUUCUAUUUUAUGUUUGGCCUUCUUAAUUUUGAGUUUUCUCGUCAGAAAACUUGCAUAGAAAAAAUAGAAUUAUUUAAAAUAAAAAAAAAAUUUCAAAAGAAUACAAGACAUAAAACAUUGCAUGUGCAUGUAAUGCCACAUUACGACCAUAGUCUAAAGAUAAUUUGGGAGUUAUACUUUGCGGAUUCCAAUAGUUUCUUGUAAUUAACAACACUUACUCCUAACACACAAAUUUGUGGCUUAAUGUCUAUAUAUUUGCUUGUAAUCUAAACUUUUCUCAUCAUCCAUUACACAUAGAAACUCUUGUGUCUUAUUUGCAGUUUCAAUACAGUUUUGUUUCUUUACUUCUUGCUUUUUUAUUACAAUGAACUUUUGUGAGCAGACUCCCUUGAUAUUGAGGUUGUGGGAAGAAGUCACAAUGAUAGACUUUCCCUAGGCUAGACAUGUCGUAUGAUAGGUCGCAAACAACUGUCGAUUUGGUCUAUUAUCACCCUUACAUAUAACCUUCAAAUUAUUUGAUUUCUUGUUCAAUAAGUUUUGUCAUGGUUUACCUCCUAGAUAGACUAUAUGUACAAAUUAAAAGAAAUUGAUAAUAAUAAAUUAAAAGUUUGAUUUCCAGCCCCAUAAACUUUGUCAAAUGUUGUUGGCUCCUAGAGAGACUAUAUGGACAGAUUAAAACAAAUUGAUAAUAUAAAUAAAAAAAUUGAUUUUCAGCUCAAUACACUUUUCACAGUUGGCUCUUAGAGAGACUAUAUCGACAUAUCAUUUUAAAAAUAUUCAACUUGUUUUGUCAUGUCUACCUAUAUUAGUUCUAAUAUAUACAUAUAGACACAAACAUAGUGUUGCUAACAUUUUUUUUAUAGACCAAUAUUUAGAUUUAGAAAUCAUGAUUUCCUCGACUAGUAAAUUCUACACUGUCUUCAUGUUCAUUUGUCUUGUCGUUCUCCUUAUUUCUGCAUCAGAGGAAGAAGAAAAAAUUUGUGAAAUUAACUAUCAUCAUACACAAUCGGAGUAUGGUUGUGACAAGUCCUCUUGUAAUGAAGUAUGCAUCAACAUAGAGCAUGCAACUUAUGCGAAACAGACAAACAAAAGAAACAAACAAGAGAAAAACUAAGGCCUAGGGAAGAAAGUUCCCGACGCGUUGAUCCUGAGCUAGGGGAGAAGGUCGACUGGAGGAGAGGAGUGAAUGACUAAAGCAACAUCUGAAGUAGCUCCUAUUUUUGCCAAGAAAUCAGCACACUAGUUACUUUCUUUGAGAGUAUGGUGGAGAGAAUAAUUGUGGUUUGCCAAAAGGUCCUUGAUAUCUUGAAUGAGAACAACAUAUAUGUGGAACUGUUGGUUGUCUCCCAAGAUGAGGUUGAUGGAUAGGAGAGUCUUAAUAACAUACUAAAUUAGCCAUAUACCUUUAUCAAUAGCUAGUUGCAAUCCCAGACGAAUAGCUGUGAGCUUGGCCAAAAGGAUGUCGUCAGUGUUAGGGAUAUGUAGCCUGAAAAGCCUGAGAUAAAAUCAUGCGUUGUUACGGAGAAGACCACCAAAUUGGCAUGGCUAGGAGUUAUGAUGCAGCUACCGUCAACAUUGAGAAUGGGACCGACAUGGUUGCUGCUAUUCCACUUAACAAAAUGAUCGGUUUGGGCAGCAAUAACAUCGAGCUUUCGGAAUAAUUAUUUUGGCUGAGCUCUGAAUGUUGUUGCUUAAACGAAAUAAAGACCAAACCUCAUUACUCAGACACAUCAUGUUUCUAUGCCUCCAAAUCCACCACAAACCAGCAAGAGAAAUAGAAGGCCGAGGGCCUUUAAAGCCGUUUUUAAUCCAGUCAUGCGGACUUGUGGUAGAGAAAAAAUCACUACCUGAGAAACUGAUUUUAUUCCAAAUAAUACUAGAAAACCGACAAUCGUGUACACAGUGAAGGAAAGUUUCUUCUUGGUCUCCACAACAACUAGAGUUGGCCGAGGGCGCUAUUUUUCUAUGGUGAACCAAAGUUAAUAUAGUGUUUCUAUUAAUUAUUUUUUAUUUUAUAUAAAAAAUAUUGUUAA